CCUACGGGAGGCAGCAGUGAGGAAUAUUGGGCAAUGGAGGCAACUCUGACCCAGCCAUGCCGCGUGAGUGAAGAAGGUUUUCGGAUUGAAAAGCUCUUUCGGAUGUGACGAUGAUGACGGUAGCAUCUAAAGAAGCCCCGGCUAACUUCGUGCCAGCAGCCGCGGUAAUACGAAGGGGGCAAGCGUUGUUCGGAAUUACUGGGCGUAAAGGGAGUGUAGGCGGUUUAGUAAGAUAGUGGUGAAAUCCCAGAGCUUAACUUUGGAAUUGCCAUUAUAACUAUUAGACUAGAAUUACAGAGAGGAUAGUGGAAUACCCAGUGUAGAGGUGAAAGUCGUAGAUAUUGGGUAGAACACCAGUGGCGAAGGCGACUAUCUGGCUGUACAUUGACGCUGAGGCUCGAAAGCAUGGGGAUCAAACAGGAUUAGAUACCCUUGUAGUC
rnacentral:rRNA from 1 species